rnacentral:misc_RNA from 1 species
UACAGAGGGUGCGAGCGUUAAUCGGAUUUACUGGGCGUAAAGCGUGCGUAGGCGGCUUUUUAAGUCGGAUGUGAAAUCCCUGAGCUUAACUUAGGAAUUGCAGUCGAUACUGGAGAGCUAGAGUGUGGUAGAGGAUGGUAGAAUUCCAGGUGUAGCGGUGAAAUGCGUAGAGAUCUGGAGGAAUACCGAUGGCGAAGGCAGCCCUCUGGCCUAAUACUGACGCUGAGGUUCGAAAGCAUGGGGAGCAAACAGG